rnacentral:rRNA from 1 species
AGCGAACGCUGGCGGCAGGCCUAACACAUGCAAGUCGAGCGCCGUAGCAAUACGGAGCGGCAGACGGGAGAGUAACACGUGGGAACGUACCCUUCAGUUCGGAACAACCCAGGGAAACUUGGGCUAAUACCGGAUACGUCCGUAAGGAGAAAGAGUUAUCGCUGAAGGAUCGGCCCGCGUCUGAUUAGCUAGUUGGUGGGGUAACGGCCCACCAAGGCGACGAUCAGUAGCUGGUCUGAGAGGAUGAUCAGCCUCACUGGGACUGAGACACGGCCCAGACUCCUACGGGAGGCAGCAGUGGGGAAUAUUGGACAAUGGGCGCAAGCCUGAUCCAGCCAUGCCGCGUGGAUGAUGAAGGCCCUAGGGUUGUAAAGUCCUUUCGGCGGGGAAGAUAAUGACGGUACCCGCAGAAGAAGCCCCGGCUAACUUCGUGCCAGCCGCCGCGGUAAAAC